GAUGAACGCUAGCGGCAGGCUUAAUACAUGCAAGUCGAGGGGCAGCACGUUUCGCACCCAUGCGGGAUGGUGGCGACCGGCAAACGGGUGAGGAUCGCGUACACAAUCUUCCCAUAGCAGGGGGAUAACCCGGGGAAACCCGGACUAAUACCCCGUAGUUUACUUUGAAGGCAUCUUUGAGGUAAUAAAACUCCGGUGGCGUUGGAUGAGUUUGCGUCCCAUUAGGUAGUUGGCAGGGUAACGGCCUACCAAGCCUUCGAUGGGUGACUGGUGUGAGAGCACGACCCGUGAGACGGGAAACGAGACACGGGCCCGACGGCUACGGGAGGGAGCAGUAAGGAAGAGUAGGCAAGGGACGCUAGUCUGAACCAGCCAUGCCGCGUGAAGGAGGAAGGUGCUCUGGAUGGUAAACUUCUUUUAUAGGGGGGGAACAAAGGGUUUUUUAACUCACUUGACGGUACCUUAUGAAUAAGCACCGGCUAACUCCGUG
rnacentral:rRNA from 1 species